GCGGGCGGCUGUGCUGGGCAGGGUGCAGCCGCGCUGCCGGCCGGCAGUGGCCAUGGGCUGAGUGUCUUGAGUGGGCAAAGGGACCGUGUGUUGUGAUGGAGCCGGGUCAAUGUGCUGGUCCUAGAGGAGACCUGGGAGAAGGGGGAGGAGAAGCAGGAGGUGAGCCAGGCCCUGCUGCCCAGGACGCUGGGCGGUGGCACAGGGCGCGGGGUUAAUGCUGGGGGCCGAGGGAAUUAAGAGCACGUGGAGGGGGCAGCGCCAUGGCUGUGCCACAGGCAUGGGGGCAAGGGAGAGAUCCAGCAGCAGAUUCCUUGUUGAGGUGCAGGCGGGACGGAGUGAGUUGGUGGCAGAAGGAGGGGACAGGGCCUCACCCGCUGCCAAGGGCAGGAAGAGCCAAAAGCAAAAUGGCAUCCACUGCACGGUAAUGAGAACGGCCCUGGUUGUAACCCAGGGUACGUGGCAAGGUGUGAGUGUUCGGGGGAGAGACUUUUUCAGGCCAUCCCAGCUCCUGCUGCAGCAAACUGACAGGUCAAAUAAAAACAAGCAGGAUUUUAACAAGGUUUGUGGAGCCCUCCUCCACAGCCGGGCAGGUCGCUGUGCUUUGCUGAGGAGACAAGACAAGGCUUGCUCUGGGGAUAAGCGAGUGUUUACUUUCUCAAGAACCCAUAUACACACCUUAGAGCUUUGCGAAAUGUCAAUUUUUGGAAGCCCUGCGAGUCAGCCACCCCGAGCGUGGUGCUGCAGGGUGGGUGGGUCACAGAGCCCCAGCAAGGGUCUGCUGCCAGGAUAACCACGGGAGAACGAACGGAACUGCUGAGUGUGGGACGCUGCAGGGACUCCGUAAAAUUAUACAUGAAACCUCAGCAAUUCUUCUGACCCCUUGAAUAAAUGAAGACAGACACCGUCCUUCACUGCAGAGCUUGGGUUUGUGGCACAGACAGCUCCACUGUGGGGAGGGUCACCUGGGCCUGGGGCAGCUCGCCUGCUGGAUUGGCAGUAAUCUCGGUUUUGUGCUAACCCAAAGACCCGCUCUGUGAACCUCCUCUGUGCCCACGGCUGACUCGGGAGCUGGAGCUGGCGUGAGCGGCAGCAGAGAAGUGGAUGGUGAUGAUCACUCCCUUGGGUAUCCUGCUCCCAUCACAUAUGAAGAGGAAGAGGCAGAGUAAGAGGGAACAAAGGCUGGGAGCUGAGGACAGACAAACCUGCUUGUUACAGUGAGGAAUAAAUUAACCAGCCUCCAUCCAGAAGGCAUAUUUGCAGCCCUUUAAAGAUGCAAAGCAGGAACAGAAUGGAAGAAAGAAAAUGUGUCACUCAUUUGUAAAAGUAGCAGGUUGUGAAAAGCUACUGCUUGUAAAUUUGCACAACAGCCACACACUGGUAAGUAACAGAUAUACACAGACCAUGUGUGUAAAGAUGGCGAUUAAUUGGCCAUACCAAAGAUAUAUAGAAAAUUUAAAGUACCCACAGUAGCUCUGAAGUGGUUCAAUUUCUGUAUGUGUGUAGGUGUGUAUAUAUGUUGCAGCUGAGUGAGACCCAAGACACAGACCUCAUUUGCUUCACGUCCAGUGGUGCAGGACGAGUGGUAAAUGAUACAAAAGCCUUGAAGAACUCCUUUCUCUGGUGCUCAGCCCCUGCGGAAGGUCCCUCCUGUACCUCCGGAGCCCAUGGCCAGCCAGGCUCCAGGUGCAGACAGGCCGUGCUGCUGCCAGCCCCUCGCCCCAUGUUCUGGCACCGGAGCUGGUGACAGCACGAGCUGAUGGCUCUGCCUGUCCUGGGCUGGAGCGGCAGCUCCGGGGCAGCACAGCUCAGACCCACCUGAGCAGCUGGGGCACACCUGAGUGGUGGCUCAGACCCACCUGAGCUGCUGGGGCACACCUGAGUGGUGGCUCGGACACACUUGAGCUGCUGGGGCACACCUGAGUGGUGGCUCGGACACACCUGAGCUGCUGGGGCACACCUGAGUGGUGGCUCGGACACACCUGAGCUGCUGGGGCACACCUGAGUGGUGGCUCGGACACACCUGAGCUGCUCAGUCACACCUGAGCGGCUGCCUGGGCACAAACCCAGCUUUGAGCUCCAGCCCAGCGCUG